rnacentral:rRNA from 1 species
UGGGGAAUUUUGGACAAUGGGCGCAAGCCUGAUCCAGCCAUGCCGCGUGAGUGAAGAAGGCCUUCGGGUUGUAAAGCUCAUUCGGCCGGGAAGAAAUAGUGUUCUCUAACAUAGGACAUGGAUGACGUA